rnacentral:lncRNA from 1 species
AUGCCAAUCACUCAUUCCUGGAUUGAUGCUGCAUCGUGCCAGGCCCCCACCCCAGUGCUGACCCAGCUGUGCAGGGAAAACCUGCCCUGGCUAUGGCAGGAGGGGAGAGAGGAGCCACAGGGAGCUGGAAAACCCCCAGGAGAGCAGAGGGGACUGCAGGCCCUGCUUUCAGCUCUGCCCAGGGCAGACCGGGGCAGGACUGGAGUCAUGCUGCAAGAUCCACCCCAACGAGUCCUUUACCUGCCUCUGGCACCAUCCCAGCAGCCUCCCACUCCUCAACAGCAUCAAACUGUAAGAGCAGAGAGAGGAGCAGCAGCAGCAGCAGCAGCAACAGCAGCAGCAGCAGCAGCAUCCCAGACAGGCUCCAGGUGCCAACACAGAACCUCCCAACAGCUCCAUCUGGGACACUUGGAACCAAACCCCCGUGGGGUUAGCUCUGUGCUGUCCCAGCCAUACGUGGAGGUCCUGAGCAGGGGCAGCAGAGCUGUCUGUCUGUCCCGGGAGGCAGCAGAGCUGGCUGUCUGUCCCUGCAGCAGCAGAGCUGUCUGUCUGUCCCUGCAGCAGCAGAGCUGUCUGUCCCUGCAGCAGCAGAGCUGUCUGUCAGUCCCUGCAGCAGCAGAGCUGGCUGUCUGUCCCGGGAGGCAGCAGAGCUGGCUGUCUGUCCCUGCAGCAGCAGAGCUGUCUGUCUGUCCCUGCAGCAGCAGAGCUGUCUGUCCCUGCAGCAGCAGAGCUGUCUGUCUGUCCCGGGAGGCAGCAGAGCUGGCCCUGGCAGCUGCAGCAUCAUCCUGCCAACCCCCCGUGCUCCAGCAGUGUCAGCGAUCAGCCACAGCCGCCCUGCUCCACAAGGGACCUGCCCCGGCACGUGGAGCUGCAGGGACGCUGCAGGAGCAGCUCAGCCCCAGCCGGGACUCCUGCAGGCACAGGAGGAACACGCUGGAGCCCUCAAGGUCACCACAACAUCCCUUGGCCAAGUCCUCUAUCCAAGGGAUGCCCGGGGAGCUUUAG